rnacentral:rRNA from 1 species
UACGGAGGGAGCUAGCGUUGUUCGGAAUUACUGGGCGUAAAGCGCACGUAGGCGGCUUUGUAAGUUAGAGGUGAAAGCCCGGGGCUCAACCCCCGGAAUUGCCUUUAAGACUGCAUCGCUUGAAUCCAGGAGAGGUGAGUGGAAUUCCGAGUGUAGAGGUGAAAUGCGUAGAUAUCGGGAGGAACACCUGUGGCGAAAGCGGCUCUCUGGACCACAACCGACGCUGAGGCGCGAAAGCGUGGGGAGCAAACAGG